UGCUUCACUGACUAAGCCAGCCAGGCACCCCUCGUACAGCAGGAUGGCUUCUUGCCUCAUGAUCACAAUAUGGCUGCCAGACCUCUGGGCAUCACAUUCGUAUCCAAUGGAAGAAGUGAGGUGAGACAGGUGCUCCGUGUGUCCCACGGUGACAUGAGGCGCCUACCUGGUCAAGCAGCCCCAUGAGGAGCACGGGCAGACUGGAGUACAGCACGUUGUAGAGCGUGAUGAACCAGUCUUCGUACGCCGUCUGCGGGGAGAUUACAGAGUCUCAUAAACCAAGAUGUACUGCCAGCCUCGUCAACAUGCAUUCAUCUCUCUCAAAGUGGGGAAGGCCCCAGGAUGUGUGGGACUCCAGCCAGAGUAAACACCCCUUGUCUACAUCUGCAGAAGAUGUGAGUUGGGUUCAGUGGAAUGGGUGGAAUCAAAGACCGUUCCACAGAAACAAACCUUCCUUCAAAACGGAGAACAGACACCAAAAAAUGUUUUGGAGAAGGAGUCCAUUCAGUUUGAAUAGUGCUGGAAAACACAUUGGUGCUGAGCCUUUUUAUAUCCCUUUAUUAAUGAAUUAGAAUACAUAAAACAAAACUGGUUCCAAAAGCCCUUAAGGUAUCAUUCACAUUUUUUUACUUUGCAGGUCCUGCAUUUCCAUGUAAACGUUUUGUGAGGCAGAAUUUGAAUAUUAAAAAUAUGCUUCUGAAAGGGAUAAGCAGGGUUGUGCGCACAUCAGUCCUUAGGGUGGCAGAGAGGGAAUAAGCUUAUCACCACCAGUUCUACUCAGUCCUACGCGGGAGCAGAAGGAAGGCCCUUGGUCUCUGAGGCUCCUCUGAUACCAUCUGUCUGUGACAAAGCACCAGAAGUUUGGACAACCACAAGCACUGACAUAGGUUCAGUUUUACUAAUGAUAUUUUUCUGCUCUAUCAUGAUUUCAACACUCCCAUUUCAGCAAUAACUCAAACAAAAAUCAACAGAUUAAGAUAACAGAUCUGUCUUGAUGGGAUGAGCACUGGGUGUUAUGCUAUAUGUUGGCAAAUUGAACUCCAAUAAAAAAAAAUAACAGAUCUGUGAUCAACCAAAAUUUAUAUAAUCCCUUUAGCCUUGGUCACAAUAUCUCUUUAUACAUUCAAUGCCGAAUAAUUUGUCCCCCUCCCCUUUGUUGUUGUUGUUGUUGUUACUCUUAAUGGCAAGGUAACUUAGGAAAAAAAUCUAGAGUGAAGGCAAAGACACAUAACAAAAGCCAGAAGACCAGAAACAAAAUCCCAACUUCUUAAAGGCAAAAUAAAGUAUUUUUAAAGCACCAGAAACCUUUUAGAUGAGUCAUCUAUAAUCUCAACCUGUGCCUCAACUAUUAAGAGAUAGAGCAUCAAAACUGCAAGUAUGUGGGGCAGUCCGGGUGGCUCAGUGGUUUAGCACCGCCUUCAGUCCAGGGUGUGACCCCGGAGA